AAACAUGACUUUGAUCUGCGUCCUCAUCUGGACUCUCCUCUGCUGCUGCUUCACAGAGUCCAGAGGACAGAUCACAGUGACUCAGCCUGGAGCAGUGAGCUCUGCUGUGGGAGGAUCUGUGACCAUCAAGUGUAGGACCAGUCAGAAUGUUCAUGUUUACAGCAGCUACCACCAUAUAGCCUGGUACCAACAGAAAGAUGGAAAACCUCCGAAAUGUCUCAUUUAUCGUGCUAGCAGCAGAGAUUCAGGGAUUCCAGCUCGUUUUACAGGCAGUGGAUCAAACUCUGACUUCACUCUGACCAUCAGUGGAGUCCAGGCUGAAGAUGCAGCAGUUUAUUACUGUCAGAGUCAGCACUAUAUCAACAGUCAGUAUGUGUGCACACAGUGA